CGCGCCGGUGGGAGGGGGACGAGGGGCGCGCGCGCUCGCUCGCGCUCUCCUGCCUCCGGCUGCGCGGGGCGGGGCGGGGACGCCGUGUCGAUGUGUCGCCUUCUUCUCCCCCGCACCCUCCGCUGAUGUCACGCGCGCAAGCCCGGGCGCGCCUGGCGCGCGUGGUGGGAAAAGGGGGCGGUGCCGGCGGCGCCCUCAGUGGCACCAUGUAGGGAAUGGAAUGCGGGGGCGGGGCCGCCGCGGCCUCAACCCGGUCACCUCUGCUGGGAAAGCCGGGAGGGGGGAGCGAGCGCAGGGAAAUACGGUAACGGCACAGGAGCGGCAGCGGCCGCCCGGGGAAGACGGGGGCUGGCCCGCCUCCAGCCGCGCUGCCGGCGCUGGAGCUGCGGCGAGACGGCGGAGACGCGGCGAACAGAUGGCCCGGGCUGGAACCGCUCCGGUAGCCCAAGGUGAAGGGCUUGGUGCCACAACCCGCAGUCUUAGCCGCCUGCUGCAGUAAAAAUAACACCCUAAUACCACUGGAAGAAUUCUUCAUGUCAUAAUAAACAAGCUGUACACUAAGAAUUGAGAAAUAAGAAGAGUGAGAGAUCUGGGGAAAAGAAUAAUCAAAAAUUGACUUAAGAAAUCCUAGAGAAAAGCAGAGGAAAAAGCCCAUAAAUGCACCUGUUCCAUUCAUCUACCACUCAGCGGAAAUAGCUGCUUCCCAUUAACUGGGCUAGGGGGUAAAUGAAGCAUCUUUGUUCUUGAGGUUAUGCCACAAGCAUCGGGUACACUUCUCCUGGGCUGCUCCUGCGCUGAUGUACCUGUACAACAGCAGUAGCACUAACAGCUUACAAGUUAUAAUCUAAGCCUGAAGUUCCACUGUUCUGCCAGUGUUGCCCUUUGCUUUCAGAGAGUUAAAUGAACUCAACAGGGAAGGAAUGUUAAUCCCAGUGAAGAAAUUAAGGUGUGUUAAAGCCAUGCCAUAACUGUGUUUAAAUUUGUAGUUAGUUGGGUUUUUUUUUUUUCAAUAGGUGCUCUUUUGUCGGGAGACCUUACUGAGCCUUCAUUUCCUCUUUUUCUGCUUCAUGCUUUUAGAAGGGCUGUAUUCCAGAGUUAUACAGAGGGGAAAGAAUGGCUGCAGAACAGCAACCUGAACUUGGUUAACAUCCCACACUUAGCCAAAGGCUGUUCUGCAAGCUUCUUGGAAAUACAGCCUUGGCAACAGCUCAGUUAAACUCUUUCUUAAUAAUGUUUCAAAGCACUAGGCCACUUGUGAUCAUUUUCAGUCAUUGCAGUAACAUAUACAAGGCUUAGGUAUUCUAUAGGUUUUGCUUAUUUAAAAGAAAAAUCACAUACAGCUGUACAGUUGUCUCUGUAUGACAUAAAAAAAUGAUCUGUAUGUAGAAAACUCUAGAUUUCAGACAACUGAGUGCUGGACAAUACAAGUCACCCUGGUGGUUAAAACUUAUCUGGAAAGAUGAGAACAAGAACAACAACCAUUAAGGGGAGACAUGGCAUUACUGCAUUUAAGUAGACCAAAAGUCCAAAUUCAUGCUUUGCAUAAAAUAUUUCUAAACACAGGGAGGUCAGGGAGUCAGAGAUGCAGAGGAAAAAAUUCGGGAAAGGAGACUGAAAUUGGCAGGAUUCUCAGAGCUAAAGCUCUAAGAAAAAUUAUUGAGAGUUAAUUAAAAGUUUAAUAAUUGAGUACAAGAAAAGCUGAUCGAUAUACUGAAGCAAAUGAAUUUACAAUGCUGAACACAUCUUUUUUUAACCUGUUCCUUUACAGUUUUUUUUAGAUAACUAAGCACUUUAGUUCCUAUAAGAAAGCUAUAGAUAUUAUGGAUUCCAAAUGUAUUUGUUGUUUGAAAGCUUGAAAAACAAUGCUGUAGGAAAAGGCAGCUAAUACAACUACACUUUGUGUUAGUUGCAUGAAGUUCACAAUUAGCAAAUUAUUUGGGAAAACAGACAGUAGGGAUGAGAACUGAUGAAGUAAUCAUCUUAAGAUUGUAGAUGAAGAAAAUAGUACUGUUUGGUUCAUAUCUUCAGGUUUUUAAAUCUUCUCUCAAAUAGUUUUAUUCACUGUGUUUGGAGACUAUUUUUACCUAUGAGUUAAAAAUAGAAAGUCUGCCUUUAAAAGUCUGCCUUUUAAAUCAAACCAAACACUCUAGGAUAAAUAUUGCCAGCACUUUUAAGACUUUAGAGUUCUUCCAUUAAAGUGAAAAUAAACUAGCAGCACUGAAUGAGGCCUUUCAAAAUGCAGCUUUUUACCCUAAUUAAAUUCCACAAUGAUUCCAAAACCAGAGUCAGAUGCUAGAGUCUAAAAACAUUUAGGAAAAUGUACUUAAAAUGCUGAGCAUGCUUUAUCAGUUUUCUAGAAUAGUGUAAAGAGAAAAACAUCUUAAUUUGAGCUAAAUCCUCUUGACAUUCAUUGCUAUGUCCUCUGCCUUUUUGUGGCUUGAUACUUGACUUAUGAAGUCAUUCUGAGAUGGACUGAAGGGGAGGGCAUUGUGUAUGCCAGAGUCUCAGAGCUAUGUGAAUUAAUACUGCUCUGUAUUUCCUCAAGGAAUGAGCACAUUCAGUUUACAUUUAUUGAGAAUAGACCCUGGGAAUGAAUUAUUUCUUCCUUAUAAGGAGCCUUGUGUUGGGAUAUCUGUUGGGACAGUUUAGCUCACUACUGAGUUACUAGGGAUAAAAGCAUCACUGUUGCAAGUAAAGUGAAAGUGUGCAAGUGACUCCUGAAAGUUAAACAUGUUGAACUGCUUUAGAAAGUUCAGAAUUUCAAGGUCUUGGAACAGAGGAAUAAGAUCAUCUCACCUUUCUUUAGAGUUUUAACUUACUCGCUUAACAUUUGCAAAAGCCUAAAGCAGAAAAUUCUGUCUCUGAGAGGAAGCUGUAUUUAACAUCACUGUAGAUUUGUUGUGGCCUUCUACGGAUCUAAGUUGCAAAAUUUUUGAACUCUCAAAGUAAAAACAGUGUUAUUCCUCUCGCAAAUUUUUGUAAACUUUGUUUUUAGAGGUAUAUAUUUCUCUAGGAUCAAUAUAAGUUUGCCAAAAACUUCUCCCUCUAGAAAUGUUUUUUUCCCCCUUUAAUGCAAGUACAUACACUUAAUUUUGGUAAGGGGGUUGGGAAAUCCGAAAAAAAUAAAAAUAAAAACAAGAUUUCUAAAGCUUUAACCUGUUCUAGUGUCACACAUUCUCCCCCAGAAAUAUGAUAGACCAGUUCAGAAGUUAAUCAAUCAGUUGCAAAAUGCCACUGAUCUGUCUUCCAACACUUAUAGGAACUCCUCAGCAUAUAUAAUGCACAGACAGUGAAGUAUUGUUUAGUCAAAAUUAUGCUACUGAUGGUCUAACUGGAAAUAUAAUUGGACUGGCUUCUUGUGGAUAAGCAUUCUAUGCUAACCAACUUACUUUUAUCCUCUCUAGCUUCCUCCCUUUAAGCUGCACCACCGCUUUGGACUUCCUUGUAUUAGACCCUACCCAAUAGCCACUGGGCUAUGGCAGGCAAUGUAUUCUUGGCUGGAAACUCUCAUGCAAACCUCAAUCCACUAAUGUCAGGAACAAAAAUCGUUGCUUACCCAGAUGUUCUCCUGUGGCAAAGAAAGAAAAUAAAUACCUGCACAACUGUAACUAAAAAUACUCAGAAGUCCAUUUUCCAGGAUGCAAAGUACUGGUAGAAUGGCUCUGAGGCAAAAAAAAAAAAAAAAAAAAAAGACAAAAAAGAAAAAACCUCCUCCUCCCAUCUGAGUCCAGAUUCAUUUGUGAUGGCGAGAGAGCUGUACUGACAAGGAAACAGGUUAAAUCUGCCAAAAAAUUCAAACGGUAUGCUCGCUGCAGGAGUUGAAGCUCCUGCCCUACAAUGUACAGAUGUGGUGCCUAUUUCUAGGACCCUUGCUGUGCUGCUGCCUCUGUGUCUCCACCAACCCAGCCAAGACAGCAGUGCAAGGAGAGGAAAGUACAGCUAGUUAGCCAGCAAUUGCUUCAACUAUUUGCCAGUCUUCUGUGAACUGCUCUGCCUUUAUAAAUGAUUACUGAGAACCUACAGAAGUUAUGGAGGCAGAGGAAAGUCAGACAUUGUUCAGCAAUAUUAAAAUGGUUCCUGUUUAAAUAACCGUCAUUCUUUUAAAAAGCUGGGUACAAUGUCUGCUUCCUCUAACUUAGUCACCAGUGAUUGCAUAUGGUAAACUGGGGAAACUGCUUGAGCUGAACUUAAACAUAUUUUCUUAACAAUCCGUUUAUACUUUGAUUCCCACUGGUUGUUAAACUCUUAAUUCACAAAUAUUCAGAGUAUUACAAACCUUCCUGUAGCUUUGCUGGAGCUGAAAUACAUCCAGUUAGGAUUUGUAGAGUAGUCUUUUCUUGGUUGUAUCAGUGACAAGCUUGCAAGGUAGUAGUCUCACAGCUGGCUCCCUUUGUGCAGUUUUAGCCCACUUAAACUGUGGUCACAACCUGAGGUAAUUGAAUCUGUCUUCAGGUACAAAUUAGACAAACCUACACUCAGAACUUCUCACAGGAAGAAAAUCCCUCCUCUUCCUCCCCAUUAUAUAAGAAUCUAGGCUUCCAUCUGUCUCAAGCAGAGUACCCAAGUAGUAUUGUAGCUGCACUGUGUCACAGUGCCCCCUGGUUUUUUUCAUUUGUAGGACACAGUGAAUACAGUCUGUGAUGUGGAUUAAGCUCUUUAUUUUCAUAAAAUAGUUUAAUGAAGUACAAAGUCUUAUUCUGUUCCUCAGCCUAUCUGGAUUGGAUAUAAGGGCUUCUUUGUAAUUCAGACACUCUGUGAAACAGAAGACUGAGAUUUCCUGUAUUGCAGAAAUGUGCCAUCGUGUUAAGCUUCAUUUGGGCAAAGAGAACAACACGGAAGAAUAAUUAGUAAAGACCUGAUACGGGUAUAACAUUUGGGGGAUUUGUCUUUACUCUCUUCAGUUUUCAUCUUCUAUUUGUUGUAGCUGUGUAGCUGUAUUUGGUGUCAACUCCAUCCUUAAGCAGACUGCCAUUUAAAAGCUAUGGUAUUGUAUCAGAUUGGGUUGAGCUAAGUAAAAACUUUGGCAUUAAAAAAAGUAUUAGAAAUUUUGUAGCCCAAGUGCUAACUAGAACGAUGUAUCUUGUUUUACCAUGCUAUUCCUGCAAAGCCAAAUGACUCAGCUGUGGGAUGCUCCAUCCCAUUGGAGUUAAACACAGUUUACCAAUGAAUAUCUUGGGUGAUCUUGAUAUGCUUUUACUUUAUUUUACACUAACUGUAUAUAUUUGCUUUGUAUAUUAGUCUGUUUUUACCGCUUCUCUUUCCCAUAUCCCUUUGACAGUACUUCGAUAGUGACAGUUCAGUAUAGAAACAGACAUUAUACUUCUUUUUUCUAACUAAUGCCCCCUAAACAUUUCAUCCACUUAUGUUCCUACUUCUUAUUCUUCCUGUUCUGCAAUCUUGGAAAUUGUACCAGAGCUAAUAUCUUGGCUAAGUCUUGUAAUCAAAUUCAGAAGAUAGAGAUAAAAUAUGGUUAGAGCUCUGCAGUAAAACUUUGUUAGAAAACCCACUACUUCUUUCUACUUCAGUAGCUUCAAAGGUUUCAUUGGAAUCCCUUUCUUGGAGCAGGGCUUUAAUUCUUUUCCACUGGCAUGUGGCUAAACAGCAUCUAACUUUUGAAGUUGUUCUGAACAGAAAGGGAGAGCAUUCUUCCUUUUCCUCUUCUAUGCUCCAGGGAUUAAGAUGAGCAGAGAGAUAUGCCUCCACUGCACUUCUACACUUGGAAUAACAGUGGCACAAUGUACUCUUACUUUCCCAGAGUGCUAGUGCUUUGAGCCUGUUCCAUGGGGAUAUUAGAAUUUGCAAGAAUUUGUCAGUAUUUCUUAGUUUUAACUACUGAAAAGGAAGGGACCUCUUGAUACUUAAUAUGUAUCCAUAUUUCUUGAAUAAAUUGGGUAGGACUCACAGAAUAUCUGUCCUGUUGCUAGACACUGUCCUCUGCUGAGCUGUAUUUGGGGACCUUCAAAAGCAACAGAUAGAGGCACUAUUUGUGGUGUGGUUCACACGCUGUAGGAGAUACUGUGUCAGGCUGGCUGUAGGCUUAGGCAGAUGUCACCAUCAGCCACCCUAGGGAUGUUGUGAUCCAUGAGCAGGAGGAAUAGAAAUCUGUUCUGGUGUGUUCAUGUAAAAUACAUUUUUUCAGUUGUUCCAAAAAAUGGAGGUUGCGGGUAGGGUAGGGACAGGUCUCUGUGAAGCCUCUGAAUUCGUUGAGCUGUGAUGGCUGCAGUGAAGAUCCAAUGCUAUGUUACUGCUCUCCCCAAACUGUGAAGAAGGAAGAAUCUCUCCAGUACGCUGAGUCAGAACUGCUUCCCAGUUAGUAACUUUCAUACAUGUUUCUCAGAGCUUCGUUACAGCCAGCACAAAAAUCAACUUGUUCUUCUGUGGUUUCAGUGGUUCUGAGUAGCAGCAGCAAAGCCUGGCAGAUGCUGUCCAGUUUUCACUUUGCUCAGGGCAGCAGCACAUGCACCAAAGCUCUCCAAAUGCAAACCUGGACAGCCAAUACUGCAUCAAUUUGCACCCUAUUCUGACCUUUCAGCUUAUCUUUGCAAACAUAAAGGCUUUGAUUUCUGUAUUUUAAAACAAAAGUUUACCGGCUGUGGUUGAAUGGCUGUUUUGCAUGUUCUCUAGGAAAGCUAGAGAUGUUUACUUUAACAGGAAAGUAAGAAAUCACUAGGGUAUGGGUCAGGAGUGGAAGAACUGAGGAAGAGAAGGGCAGAAGUAAUGCAAGCAAGACUUGGAGGAUGAUCUAGCGCCCAGCCCUUUGCCAACUCCACCCUCUAAAUGGCAUUUACCACCAUGGAAAUUGGAUCCACCCUGGACUGAUUCUAACAUCAGGAAAAUCCUCCUAAAAUAACUCUGGACCUUACAAAAGUUGCAGUUUCCUCUCCCAAUAAUUGAUGCUGUGGUGAUGACCUCCAUCUGGUACUCAUGAGUUACAGUCACUACAUCUGCUAAGGAGAAGAAGGCAACUUUUUCCUGUGUUCAGAAUCUCUUGCCUUCUCUGCAGUGAUGGACCUAGGAGUGAAAAAUUGUUUGCUCAGUUCGAGCACUUCUUGAAAGGAAUGGUAUCCCCAGUACUGGCAACUUGGAAAUGAAAAUGCAACUUCUGUUUACUCAGGUUUUUAAGAAAUGUAAAUGAAGAGGAACCACUUUAAUAGUACCUAGGGAUCAGUCUAAAUUCCAUUAUUGCCAUUGAAUGUGGGUUUAUUUCAUACUGUUUACUAAAUUGGGAGUAUAACCAUGGCAACAUUCAGGACACACUCUGUAUGGAUCUGCCAACACAAGAGUGAAAUUAGCAUUCAGAAGACAACUGCUUGGAAGUGGCUUGAGAGCUAAAAAUCAUGUUUCAGACUACAGUCAGGAUAAUGAUAAACUUCAGCAUCCGCAGAGUGAACAUUAUGCAAAACUUACUACUUCAUCUUAAGCUAAUCUCACCAAAAGUUUUUGUGGUAUCAUUUGUAUAGGUUUUAUCUGGCUAAGUAAAAGCAUAAUGAUAUAAAUACAUAUAUCCAGCUUUGAUUCUGACAAGCCUCAUAGCAUUUUGUGUGAAGUAUGCCUAAAAAUACAAAAGCCAAUAACCUUUUAUGCUCAGCUGUAGUUGGUUGGAUGGUUAAAAUUACUUUGCUUGGAAAAUAUAUAGAAUUACAGUUCCUAGACAAGAUGAAGGUUCUACUUUUUGCAUAUAAAGAAAAGAGGUGAGGGGUGAAUGGAAAUAAAGAGGGGAAUGUAAUAGGAACUUUCUGAGUUAGUCCUUUGCUGUUCCAGGUAAUGUAUUGAUAAACUAUUGAUAUCAAUAAACUUAAUCUAAGAGCUAA